UAAUGAAAUAGAAAAGGAAGCCAUGCGCUAACAUGACUUCCUAGCGCAAACACCAUUUAAGAUGGUGACAGCUGUAUUAGAUAAUAAAAU
rnacentral:sRNA from 1 species